UACGUAGGCAGCGAGCGUUGUUCGGAAUUACUGGGCGUAAAGAGUGUGUAGGCGGUGCUCUAAGUUCGGUGUGAAAUCUCCUGGCUCAACUGGGAGGGUGCGCCGGAAACUGGAGUGCUUGAGCGUGGGAGAGGAAAGCGGAAUUCCUGGUGUAGCGGUGAAAUGCGUAGAUAUCAGGAGGAACACCUGUGGUGUAGACGGCUUUCUGGACCGUAACUGACGCUGAGACACGAAAGCGUGGGUAGCAAACAGG
rnacentral:rRNA from 1 species